UCCACCGCUCACGCACCAUGCCUCCGCGUGAUCGCUAGUUACAGAUGGGCAGUUCGGACCUUGGAGACUACAACCCCCACAACGCCCUGCGGGCCCGCGCCACAUGAUUGGCUGAACCUCCGGCGGCGGCCAAUAGGACGGGGCUUUGUUGGCUUGUGCCGCAGCAGCCCGAGUCCCGGGAAGCGCGGGGCGCAUAGGGAGCCAGAGCCUGGCGUCCGUCUGGUUGCUCUGGAGCCGAGUCGCGUGGCCGCCUGCCGGCUCGCCUCUUGCCAUGGGGAGCACCGAGAGCAGCGAGGCCCGCAGGGUGUCCUUCGGAAUGGACGAAGAGGAGCGGGUCCGGGUGCUGCAGGGCAUCCGGCUGUCCGAGAAUGUGGUUAACCGCAUGAAGGAUCCCAACCAGCCUUGCAAAGCUGGGGAGCCAGCUCCGCCUCCUGCCCCUCCGCCUUCUACGCCUUCUACGGGCGGCUCCUCCAAAGGCCCCGAGAAAGACUCCAAACCGCCCAGGUCUGAGUAUGGUGGUGGCCGUCAGCCCUCGGGGGUGGAGGAGGAUUUCCUCAAAAGGUAUAAACAGGAGCAGGCCAAGGUCCAGGACGAGUUGUUCCAGGUGGUUACGAGGGAACGAGAGGCAGCCACCAAGCACAGGAGUGCGUCCAUGCAGCGGGGGGAGGGCAGCGUUGACCAGGACAAGCGGAAGUCAACCCAGCUGGCCAGGGAGCUGGAGAGCCGGGAGGCAGAGCUGAGCCGUCGUGACACCUUCUAUAAGGAGCAGCUGGGACGCCUCGAGAGGAAGGGGGACGGAUCCGUCAUGGUGGUCGUCAGAGUGGAGGCCCAGAUGGGCGUGCGGAUGAACAAGUCGUGGCCAUCAGCAGGGGUGCUGGUGAAUGUCAGCCGCAGAAUGAAAUGCCUCAUAGAUGCUCUCCCGUGACACACUGCAGAGGCCCACGCGCAUGGUAGGUGACUUAUGAAUGCUUGUUCCUUGGGUGCAUGUCUGCGUGGCCCCGAGGGGGGUUUCAAGCCCAAGAGCCACUCCCCUGCUGACCAUCACAUUGACCUCUGUUGUCUUCUGUUCCAGGACAGCUACCCCUCGCUCCUCUGCCAGGCUAGUGGGUUAGUGCAAGCCCCCCCACCCCAGUCCCAACCCUGCCCCGCUCUGGUCCCUCAUGGCUCCGCAGCGGGGGCAGCAGGACUGCCUCUCUGGCCCACAACAUGUUUCCUUGUCGUCCCCUUCUGAGCCCUCUCGCUGUGCCUCCUCUCACCAUCACGCUCUCUUUUGAUCUCGCAACCCAGGCCCUUGGAGAAAUCAGACAGUAUGAAAUAUGAAAACUGCCUGGGAAGUAAUUGAAGAAACACUGUGACUUUUGAAACCCAUAGAGAUAACACUCACACCUUCUUACUCACGUUAUUUAAUUUUUAAUGGCAGAUUUAAUUAAUGGAGAUCAGGUCUUCUGGUUUCAGAUGUGCGUAUGGAGCAGCUGGAGGAGGAGGGGAGGGGCAGCUGUGUAUAGGGUAGAGGAAGAGAUUCCAAAAUUUGGGAAUCUGAAGAUCUAACAGGGAGGAAAAACCAUCCAGAAAUAAUGACUCACGAUCCCUGGGUCCUCAGAGACGUGCAGGGAUUCAAUGCAGUGCACUUGCAGUGCUCUCCCCGCAACUUACCAGUGGGUGACAGCACUCCUCUCAGGACAGCGCUGUGGCCUCCCCAGGCCCCCGUGGGAUCGCGGCAGGCAAUUCCAGGCUCCCUGCUGGCACUGCACUCCAUCGUCCACAUGGCUGCCAGAAUGUUUUCUCUGAAACACACAUCUCCCCUGCCACUCCCCCACGUAAAAGUAAAACCCGUGGGCUGAGGUCUAGGCUCCCAGCCUGCAGUGGAGACCCACCCCCCUGCCGCCCGGGUCCCCAGGUCCCGGGCUGUCUUUGUCUCUAGCCCCUUCCCUUGCUCCUGGUCCAGUUGGAGCAUCUACUGUGUGGCGCCCCUCACUCUCCCUUGUUUACAGGACCGUCCCCCUCCCCAUCAUUGGCUCAUUUCUGCUCACCGUGUGAGACUCAGUUUAGUAAAAGCGGAUGUACCCUUUGACCCGAGAGUUUCACUUCUAGAAUGCACUAUUCGGAUGUGCUCAGACACGUGCAGAGGACAGUCCAUGGUGGUCGAACGUCAGACCCGUUGAGGCAAAAUCAUAAUCUCUUGGCUGGAACAUCAUGGCUCCAGAGAGAAAACAUGGGACAGCUUGGAGUCAGCACAGACCUGCAGGCCAGGAGAAUGCCGAGAUGUACAAACUGUCUUCACAGCAGUUCCAUGAGGCAGCU